UUAACUCUAAUUUGUAAGGAGUUGGAAAGUUUCCCUCCAUUUGCCGCGAGGGGCCUUGUUCCAACUCCAUACAAAUUUGAGUUA
rfam:Bombyx mori DNA, contig: Bm_scaf35_contig20975, strain: p50T/Dazao, build 2, whole genome shotgun sequence.